rnacentral:rRNA from 1 species
GUUAUCCUACGGGACGCAGCAGUGGGGAAUAUUGCGCAAUGGGCGAAAGCCUGACGCAGCGACGCCGCGUGAGGGAUGAAGGUCUUCGGAUCGUAAACCUCUGUCAGCAGGGAAGAACGGUCACUGUGCUAAUCAGCAGUGAAUUGACGGUACCUGCAAAGGAAGCACCGGCUAACUCCGUGCCAGCAGCCGCGGUAAUACGGAGGGUGCGCGCGUUAAUCGGAAUUACUGGGCGUAAAGCGCUCGUAGGCGGUACGUCAAGCCAAGGGUGAAAUCCCCGCGCUCAACGUGGGAACAGCCU